UCUCGCUCUCCCUAUUGGUCACUCUUGGGCCAUGUGACCCAAUAACCGUCAGACCCGCCGCCUCGGGAGUUUGAGAGGUCUCUCUCUGACUGCUGCUUGGCUACUGAGAUGGCGGUUGGGGUGGAUAGGGCGCGGCGGUUCAAAAGGUCCUCAUAAAAAUUGUAAACGGAAUUUGACAAACAAAAACCAAAACCCGAUCUCCUCCUACCUUUUGCUCCCUUUCGCUCAAAGUAAAGCUCCCGGGGAAGCCCACUUGAUUAUUUAAGGCUCUUACAAGUUCCUGCAGCCUUUGUCUAUGUGGGUCGUUUCAUCCUCAGCCUUUCUACGUUAGGAAAGCCUGUGUCUCUAGUAUCUAAGUGUUUUCCAUCCGCUCGUUCCCUGAAAAAAAGAGGGGGAAAUAAGCCGCGUGCUGUCAGGAGCCUCCCUCUUUGAAAAUGACUAAUAUUUCCUUUCAUAGAUGAUCCUAUGGUCAUCCAAAUGUUCAUCCAGAGGAUCCCAAAACUCAUAAAUAGAGGGCAGGAAAUGAAAAGGGCAAGAAUUUCUAUACCAGGGAAGGAAAAAAAGCCUCUUGCAGUCGUUGGAUGGGGACGAUAGUAAAUGAGGAUAAUUAAAAUUUACAAACAAGGGCCUGCCUUGUGAAGAGUGCUUUUUAAUAUCAUUCAAUCAAUACACUUAUUCCGUGCUUUCCAAGUGCCAGGUGCUGUGCUGAGCACUAAAACACGAAGCAAAAACAAAAACCGUUUCUGCCCAGAAAUGCAUCGUUUUUUGCCAGAGACGAACAAAAGGGCAACACCUGCUCUAAAACGUGUGGAUGGGGCUAGUGGAUCUGCUUUCUUUUUAAUCUAAAGCUAUCCAUAAAAGGUGAUUAUACUCUUUCUCAGCUGAGAGACAACAGUAGCUGUAUCUAUGAUGAAGAGGAAAUGUUACAGAGAUUGGCUUUGCAGCUGAGAUGCACUGGAGAUGGAAUCAAUAAUAGCGUGGUUCAAGAGGGUCUUCAACUAGAAGAUGUCAGAGAUACGUUGGCUCAUUUUGUCUUAUUCUUGCUUAGAAAAGCUCAUUCGGUUUUGAGAUUCUUUUUGGCUAGGCGUCCAGUGUAGAACAAAAGUUCAAAUUUAAGCUACUUUUUCUACUUUUUAAGACACACAAGUUCCCUUUACUGAACUGUAAAACCCUGGGGAUAAAGAAUGCACCGUGUUGAUCUUCCUAUCUCCCCGAGGAGUUUGUAUAUAAUAGAUACAGAGAAAAGGAGCAUUUUGGUAUGUGUCAGUGAUAUGAAUUCUGGAAUUGUAGUAAAAUCUCAAGUUUAAAUUCUGGCUGUGAUACUGCCAUGGGGAUCCUGGGCAAGUCACUGAACUUCACUGAAUCUGUUUCUGUAUCAAUAAAAUGACACUAGAAAAUGUCAGCUUCAGAGAUGAACAGCAACUGUGAGAGCAGAAUGAAAUUACAGAGAAGUCAAAGAGCACAGUCAGGAGACUGAGCUGUGAGAAGUCUUCCAACAAUGAUGCAACUUUAUAAAUCUGAAUUGUCCAAGGAAAAUCUCAAUUUUUGACACUGUUGGAUGGGAGGAAAUGGAGAAUAGUUUUACUUGGUUUUCCCUUGUUUUGUACUUCACUGUUCUGUUCUAAAUAAAUGCUUUGUUAUUUAA